rnacentral:rRNA from 1 species
CGUAGGCGGACAUUUAAGUCAGGGGUGAAAUCCCGGGGCUCAACCUCGGAAUUGCCUUUGAUACUGGGUGUCUUGAGUAUGAGAGAGGUGUGUGGAACUCCGAGUGUAGAGGUGAAAUUCGUAGAUAUUCGGAAGAACACCAGUGGCGAAGGCGACACACUGGCUCAUUACUGACGCUGAGGUGCGAAAGCGUGGGGAGCAAACA